GGUGAGUGAGGGACUCGCUCGGCCCCGGCGCUCUGCCGGAGGAAUGCAAGCUUCAAAGAAUAAAAAUACAGAAGAGGCAGAACCAUUCUACAAGCUUUCAGUGCCAAAGGAGAAGACUAGUUCUGAGAUUAUAAGUGAAGCCAGAAAUUUUCUACGAACACUGAGAACUCGGAGACCAUUUACACCUACAGAAGAACAAAGGAGACUUUUUGGAUCUGGAUCCUCACGAGCUCCUCAAAAUAGACCCCCUUCAGUUUUUAGUCUUCAUGCAUCCAGUUUUGAUUUGGCUGAAUCAAGACCACUGUCUGGUGUUCGUCUUAGCCCACUGAAACAUAAACCGGUAUUAGUCACUUCUGCAAAAGAUGAAGAUUCUUCCAUUUCCUUUCCAAAAACUCUUGCUGAUGCUGCAGAGAUCAGAAAAGUCAGCAAUGCUCGGGCACACUUAUUUAGAAGAACUUCUUGGGGAAACUUCCUUUUGGCUAAAACGGUGCCUCCUGAUCAGAAGGAAGAGAAGCUAGAUUCUGAACAACCAGCUAUGAUGAAUAAUCUUUGCAGGACUAAUAAUGACUGCUUAGCAGAGCAAAGGUCAAACAUACCAUGGAAUGGUGAAAGCAGACAAUUAAUUUGUAAUGAGCAUGUCAGCGGAUUGGAGAGUAGAGACUUCGUAAAAGGGACAGCUGGAAAACUUUUGUUUCAAAUGAGAGGAGAAAGAAGUGUCAGCAGUGAUGGCAGAUUUGCUGAUGAAGAGCAACAGUUUCCCUGUGAGCAGAUGAAAAAGCCAGGCACAAGUCCGUCAUGGCCAAGAAGUACAGGCUGGAAGGGAAGAGAAACAGGCUUACAAGUUGAAAUGGGAAUAAAAGAAUCACAAGAGGAAGAAAUCUUUUGGCAUUUAAAGAUUCUACCAAUUCUUCAUGAACUGGAAAAAGAAGACAAUGUAGAAAAUCUUUGUCUGGCUUGCACCAAGCUCUAUCAAGCCCUGGAUGAAGAAAAUAUGCUUGGAAAAAGAUUUAAAAGAAGAAAUAUGCUUCUGAAGAUAUUAUAUAAACUUGUAGACAUUGAUUCAGACCCACUUUGCCUAAAGCUGGCAAAGAUUAUUCUGUCUAUGAAAGUGGAUGGAAAAAAUCUUCUCAGUGUUUGCAAGCUUGCAUUUAAAAUUUGCAGGAAUGAAGAAAAUGAUUACAUCAUUCAAAAUGAUGGUUUGUUGGAUUGUUUGUUGGAGGUUCUGAGAACUGAAGAUCUACAAAAAAACAAUGAAGCUCUCUUGUAUUGCAUGGGAGCUAUAAAAUUCAUGUCUGGAAAUGCAGUACUCCUUAAUGAAAUGGUGAAAAAAGGAGCUGUUGAAAUGUUGCUGCAAUUAAUGAAGCAGAUUAAUAAUAUAAAAGAAAAUGACAGAUAUUUCUCCAACUUGGGGCACCUAUUAGUACAGCUGACAGCUACAUUGCGAAACUUGACUGACUUGGCUCCGGUGAGACGCCAGCUCAUUCGCAGUGGUGCAGUCUCUGAGCUCUGUGUGGCGCUAGAGCAGCGCUUGAGGGAUAAGGAUGUGUGCACCUACCUUGUCAGGAUAUUCAGCAAACUUUCUUCCUACAAUGAUUUCUGCACAGCUUUAGCAGACUGCUCCAGAUGUUAUGUCUUAUUUUUAGCCCUACUAAACAAACACCAGAAACAGCAGGAUUUGGUUAUCCGUAUUCUCUUCAUUCUUGGUAAUUUAACAGCAAAGAAUGACCAGCCCCGUGAGCAAUUUUUUCAAGAAAAAGGAAGCAUUAACACCUUGAUAUCAUUAUUCCAAACCUACCAUGAACUUGAUUUGAAUACACAGAAAUGGUACCAAGGAAAAGGAAGGGAAGAAAAAAAACAACCAAAGCAUCCUUCAGAAGCAGAAGAUGUUCUGAUAAAACUGAUAAGAGUGCUGGCCAAUGUCUCUGUUCAUCCCAGCAUAGGAGCAGCUCUGGCAGUUGCCCAUCACGUUGUAGAAUUGCUUGUUACAGUACUAGAAUACAAGUCAGUUGAUGAGUGUGAGGAGUUGGUCAUCAAUGCUGCAAUAACAAUCAACAAUUUAUCCUACUACAAAGUGAAGAGUUCUGCUGUUCAAGACAAAAAGCUACACAUUGCUGAAAUGCUUUUAAGGCUGUUAAUGAGCAACAGUAUGGAUGGAGUUGUGGAGGCUGUCAGAGCAUUUGGCAAUCUUUCCCAGUAUCAUGAGAUCUGUGACUUCAUCAUACAGAAAAAGAUACACAAGUUCAUGAUUGCUUUGCUUGAUGCCAAAAAGCAAGAUGUCUGUUUUUUUGCCUGUGGAGUUCUGCUCAAUCUCACAGUAGAUAAGAACAAACGAGCAUUUCUGAUGGAGGAAGGAGGAAUUGGAAAGUUAGUUGACUGUUUACAAGACUUUGGGCCAUCAGAUUGGCAGCUGGCUUGUUUGAUAUGCAAAACCCUGUGGAACUAUAGUGAAAGCACCACAAGUUCGGCCUCAUGCUUUGGAGAAGAUACUGAGACGUUGCUGGUGCUGCUCACAUCACUCUUAGAUGCAGAACUAGCGCUGGAUUACAGCCUCGACGGAGAUGUAAGGGACUACCACAAACUGUAUUGGGAAAGAGAGUUCAAGCCUGUGGCAGAAAAACUUCUUGAUAGAAUUCAGAAUCAUCAGUCCUUCCAGCUGUGACUGGCUAUUACUCCAUUUUAAUCAGUCAUAUUUUUUUUGGUGCUAUAGGUUGACCAGCUUUACAUUUCUAAUAUACCUGUACUUUGCCAUUGAUCACUAAGAACAAACCACUGAGCAGGGGCUGCUGGGCUCCUGGCUGUGAUCCUGAGGGUCAGCAGCCUCGUGUUGUGCUGUGUGUGUCAGGAGUGCAAGUCUUCCCCUGGCAAUCCCCUCAGAGAGGCUGGAGGAAUUGGUUUGAGGCAGUGAUUUGGAGCUCCCUCAGUGGCACUGCUGUACCUUUGACAUUGCUCUGCUUCCAGGUGAGGAGAUGAAGCAAGGAGGCUGGGAAACACAGCUGUGGUAGAAGGGCAGGGAAACUUUCUUCGUAGCUUAGAUCCCUGCUUCUCAGGGACUUCUUUGCUGUUGAUGGGACAGGGGAGGAGAGAUUUCAUGGUCCUGGUUUUGGGAGUGGUGCAGAGGCUCUGUAAGAGCUGCUUGGUAGUCAUCAGGGCUUAUAGCCUGCAGGGGAGGGCAGCCCACACCAGUGGCCAAAGCAGUGCUGUGGCUUCUCCCUCCUGCCCUUCUGUCACACACAGCUGCUGCUGUCUGCAGUGAUCACCACUCAUGAAGCAUCUGGCAACUCAACCCUUUCUUGUUUAAAGACUAACCCCACUGACUUUGGUUGCCACUGUACUUAACAACUUUGGCUUGGUCUCUUUUGCUUAGCACCACAAAUGCCUCAGCAUGGAAAAUGCCCAACCAUCUUCAGGCCCCUUCUCCAAAGUAAGUAGCAUGGUGUGUAGUUAGGGUUGGCUGCAGGUUGUGGUUACUGCUGCGGUUGAAAAUGUGACCGUAUGAAGCCACUGGCACACACAUGCUGCAGUGUUCGCUGCUUGAGAAGGCAGAGUGUGUCUGCAGGUACCUGCAUUUGCCUGGAUAGCACAGGACAGAAACAGCCAGUUCAGGCUUCUCAGAAAAUUUCCUGUCAACCUUUGACCACCCCCAAAAAGCAACCGGAGAAUCAGGUGCUUCAGAAACUCCACCUACAGACUGGAGAGACACUGUGUCCUUAGGCAGGCAGAGCUUAGCUUUAUGCUGUGGCCUUACACAGGAAAGUUUUGCUCUGGCUGUGGAACAUUAAAAAUCCUGUAUUUUUAGUUAAGAGGAAACAGCAGAUGCUUCCUGUUAGUCACAUUUUUUGACAGUUUAUUAAUCUUUCUCCCCUAGAUCUUUUUAGAUAUUUUAGCUUCUUGGACUGUAAACUUAAAACUGUUCUCAGAAUGUUCUGUAUUCAGAGCAACCAGUCUGAGCUCACUGAGAAGCAGGCCAAGGGACAGGAAUCUUAAUUUCAUUCUGCUGGUGGACUUGGGAAAAUCUGUUUCUUUCCUGCCCUAUGGAUAACACUCCUUACUGUAAGCAGGUGGGGUUUCUACACUUAGAGGGUAAUCCCCAUCACAGCCAGCAGUAGGAGUGUGUCCAAAAGGCUUUGUCACUCACUUGUGGCAAACCCUCCUCCUGCUGCCUGUUACCUCUUGCCAUAAAAUCCUCAGUCUAGCUGUGCAGACCUGGUUGUCCUUCCAAUGGCAGAUGCCCUUCUGGCACCAGGCUAUGGAAAUCAGCAGCCAAAGAUGGAGCUAAGUUCACUACAAGAGGAUUUUAAAAUCACUUUAAUUCAAUUCUUAAAAUAGUAUUUAGAGCUGGUUAUUGAAAAUAAGUGACUAUAUAAAUAUACAGAUGUAAGCUCUGCCCAUUACCUGGGAGGAAAGAGAAAACCCAGUAUGACAGAGUAUUCCUCUACACAGGGUGGAGGACUAUAGGAAGCAUGGAAACACUAUAGUAUAGAUUUAGGUCUUCACUGAAAUUAUGUUCUUUUUAAACUGGGUUUUCUCCCAUCAUUUUAGACU